rnacentral:rRNA from 1 species
UACAUGGGGUGCAAACGUUGCUCGGAAUUAUUGGGCGUAAAGGGCGCGUAGGCGGUUUGUUAAGUCGGUCGUGAAAGCCCGGGGCUCAACCCCGGAGGGUCGACCGAUACUGGCAGACUUGAGUACGGAAGAGGUAGCUGGAAUUCCCGGUGUAGCGGUGAAAUGCGUAGAGUAUCGGGAGGAACACCUGAGGCGAAGGCGGGCUACUGGGCUGAUACUGACGCUGAGGCGCGAAAGCUAGGGGGAGCAAACAGG